UACGUAGGGGGCUAGCGUUGUCCGGAAUCAUUGGGCGUAAAGCGCGUGUAGGCGGCCCGGUAAGUCCGCUGUGAAAGUCGGGGGGCUCAACCCCCCGGAUGCCGGUGGAUACUGUCGGGCUUGAGUGCGGAAGAGGCGAGUGGAAUUCCUGGUGUAGCGGUGAAAUGCGCAGAUAUCAGGAGGAACACCAAUUGCGAAGGCAGCUCGCUGGGACGUUACUGACGCUGAGACGCGAAAGCGUGGGGAGCAAACAGG
rnacentral:rRNA from 1 species